rnacentral:lncRNA from 1 species
GCAGAGCAAUGCAGUCCAUAAUAUGGUUAUAGUUUAGUUGUUUUCCGUUCAUAUGGUUUACACUAACAACCAUUUGAUUCAAUUCCACAUUAUUCAAAUUCCCGCACAGAUAAAGAAAAAUAUCACAUGUCAUUAAAUAUUUUGGACAUUACAAAAUCCUCUAGAACAUUACAAGAUGCAAGACAGGUAAGCUCAAUCAUCAUAAAGAUAAACUCACUACAGGCAUGCUCAGUCUAAACUCUAAAGCUGCUUCCCUGUCCAAGAACCAUGCUAGCUAUUAUCAGGAAGCACUAGAAGAAACAUGGAAUGCCAUUGUCCUUUAUUGUCUUAUUAAACCACACAACUACUUUUACCAAUGCUGUAAUCAACUGCUUAAUGAUUGACAAUACAAAAGAAAAAACUUCCAUGGGUUUAUAUUUUUCCCAAUUGACCAGAAUAUACAUACUUUAGCCAAAAGAUGCGAAAAUUUUACGUCAUAUUUUUCUCCUUCAACUUCAGGUUUUUUUUCUUUAUCUUUCUCUUCUCUCUUUGAUUACUCAUGUGGGGUGGCCAUGAUCGGCCACCCCCUCCCCCUCCACCUCCACCUCCACCUCCACCUCCAAUACUAUUAAUGGUCAAUACGCGCGAGUACUGUGGUGAUACCUUAAUUUUUGGAGUCACCACUAGUGGAGCAUAAUAUUGCCAAGAAAGAGUACUCGCGCGUGGUGACUCCAAAAAUUAAGGUAUCACCACAGUACUCGCGCGUAUUGACCAUUAAUAGUAUUGGAGGUGGAGGUGGAGGUGGAGGUGGAGGGGGAGGGGGUGGCCGAUCAUGGCCACCCCACAUGAGUAAUCAAAGAGAGAAGAGAAAGAUAAAGAAAAAAAACCUGAAGUUGAAGGAGAAAAACAUGACGUAAAAUUUUCGCAUCUUUUGGCUAUAGCAAUACUGCUAUGUGCUUGGAAUUGGAAUUGGGAAAAAUAUAAACCCAUGCUGGAAGUUUUUUAUUUUGUAUUGUCAAUCAUUAAGCAGUUGAUUACAGCAUUGGUAAAAGUAGUUGUGUGGUUUAAUAAGACAAUAAAAGGACAUUACAAGAUGCAAGACAGGUAAGCUCAAUCAUCAUAAAGAUAAACUCACUACAUGCAUGCUCAGUCUAAACUCUAAAGCUUGGAAGAUGCUUCCCUGUCCAAGAACCAUGCUAGCUCC